rnacentral:lncRNA from 1 species
GCAUUCUGGCGGUGCCGGGAGCGGGGCGAGGAGGAGGGUGGGUAUGAGGCGGUAGCGGACCGCGGAGUCGAGACCUACCCGAACGACGCGGGCGAGCGGGGCUUUGGACGCCGGUGGAGACGCAGGCGAGACUCCAGCGGGAGGAAGAAGAGGCCUUUGCCAGCAGUCAGAGCAGCCAAGGGGCCCAAUCCCUCACAUUCUCCAAGUUUGAAGGAAAGAAAACCAACAAGAAGACCCGCAAGGUUACCACAGUGAAGAAAUCUUCAGUACGUCUUCCAGGGUCGGAUCAAAGAAGGAUAUUGAAAUGGAUUCCAGGCGUGUGCCUCGAGACAAGCUGGCCUGCAUCACCAAGUGCAGCAAGCACAUCUUCGAUGCCAUCAAGAUCACCUAGAACGAGCUGGCGUCAGCAGAUGACUUCCUCCCCACCCUCAUCUACAUUGUUUUGAAGGGCAACCCCCAUGCCUUCAGUCUAAUAUCCAGUAUAUCACGUGCUUCUGCAAUCCAAGCCGACUGAUGACUGGAGAGGAUGGCUACUAUUUCACCAAUCUGAGACGGGGGCAGUCUCACUACAUGGCCCAGGUUUGUGAUCAGCUCUUGGUGGAAGGAGGUGGCUUCUAGCUGGGCUAUGCCACCCCAGGCUGUGGAGUUCCAGGUGAACCUGGUCCUGACAGGAGUCAGGGCCUAGGGUCUCAGGCCAGGUUGUGGCGUGGCCUUGCUGAAUCCUAUCACUGUCCCUGCUGAGCAGCCAUACUGGGCCCUGUGGUGGUUCAGAUGGAUGGUCCUGACAGCACGGUCUGCACAGCGUCUGACUCACUUUGUGGCCUGGGCAAGUCCCUGGCAUCUCUGCACCUCAGCUUCCCAGCUGUACAAUGAGGUGGGGUAAGAUUAGAUCAAUAUUUUUUCUUUCUUCUUCUUUUUUAUUUCUUAGGAGAUGGGGUCUCAGCCAGGCACAGUGGCUCCCACCUGUAAUCCCAGCACUUUGGGAUGCUGGGGUGGGAGGAUCACUUGAGGUCAGGAGUUUGAGACCAGCCUGGCCAACAUGGUGAAACCUCGCCUCUACUAAAAAUACAAAGAAUUAGCUGGGUGUGGUGGUGCAUGCCUGAAGUCUCAGCUACUCGGGAGGCUAAGGCAUGAGAAUCGCUUGAACUCAGGAGGUGGAGGUUGCAGUAAGUCAAGAUUGCAAGAUUGACUCCAGCCUGAGCGACAGAGCGAGUCUCUGUCUUGGGAAAAAAAAAGAAGGCCGGGAGCAGUGGCUCACACCUGUAAUCUCAGCACUUUGGGGAGCCAGGGUGGGUGGAUCAUGAGGUCAGGAGUUCGAGACCAGCCUGGCCAACAUGGGGAAACCCUGUCUCUACUAAAAAUAGAAAAAACAGCUGGGCGUGGUGGCAGGUGCAUGUAAUCCCAGCUGCUUGGGAAGCUGAGGCAGGAGAAUCAGUUGAACCCAGGAGGCAGAGGUUGCAGUGAGCCGAGAUCGUGCCACUGCACUCCAGCCUGGGCAACAGAGCGAGACUCUGUCUUGGGGGGAAAAAAAAGAAGAGAUGAGGUCUCAUUCUGUCAUCCAGGCAGGAGUACAGUGGCAUAAUCAUAGCUCACUGCAGCCGUAAACUCUGGGGCUCAGGUGAUCCUCCGGCCUCAGCCUCCUGUGUAGCUGGGACUACAAGUGCCUACUACCACGCCUGGCUAAUUUUUAGAAAAAACUUUUUGGUCUAUGGCCAUACCACCCUGAAUGCGCCUGAUCUUGCCUGAUCUCAGAAGGGAAGCAGGGUUGGGCCUGGUUAGUAGUUGGAUGGGAGAAAAAACUUUUUGUAGAGACACGGUCUCAUUAUGUUGCCCAGGUUUGUCUCAAACUCCGGGACUCAAGCAAUCCUCCCACUUAGGCCUCCCAAACUGCUGGGAUUAGAGACGUGAGCCACCACACCUGGCCAAUCAGUGUUUCUUUUUCUUUUUCUUUUUGAGACAGAGUCCUGCUCUGUCAUCCAGCUUGGAGUGCAGUGGUGUGAUCUCGACUCACUGCAACCUCUGCCUCCUGGGCUGAAGCCAUCCUCCCACCUCAAACGCCCAAGUAGCUAGGACUACAGGCGUGCGCCACCAUGCCGGC